rnacentral:tRNA from 1 species
GGGCCCAUAGCUCAGGUUGGUAGAGCGUCAGGCUCAUAACCUGCCGGUCGAGCGUUCAAGACAGUAGGGAUUUCCCGCUGUGAGCAAAUCGCUCUGGGCCCACCA